rnacentral:lncRNA from 1 species
UAUUUACCAUGUGUCGGGCACUGUAUCUUCUCUCUCUCUCUCUCUCUCUUACUCUCUCUCUCUAUCUCAGGUGGCUAUCCUGGGAACUGAGGAGUUUCCUGGGAUUCAGGACUUUUUGUGCUAAAUCUGGGACAGUGCCGGGCAAAACAGAACAGUUGAUGACCCUAAUGUGAAUUCAUUUAAUCUCACAAUAACUCUUGGACACAGGCAC